GCCCUGAUGGUGGAAUGGUAGACACGAGGGACUUAAAAUCCCUUGGCCUUUACGGCUGUGCGGGUUCGAGUCCCGCUUGGGGCA
rnacentral:tRNA from 1 species